GUCAAGGCAGCGGGCUGGGCGACCGGAAGCACGGUACGGGCCGUGCACCGUCCUGUCACCCUUGGAGACGUGAGUGCUGACCUCGGCGGCGAAGGAGUGGGUUUUUAAACCUGCUCUCCUUCGCCGCCGUGGGGCAAGAUGAACUCUUCAGAACUAGUUAACGUCUUUGAAGCGGACAUUCAGCACCGGACCAGAGAGACUGAAAACAUUUCUAAGAUGUGCUUGCAAAAGUUGAUUUUAUCAUAGAAGAGGAGGUAAAAGCAGCACCAAAUGAACCUCCACUUGGAAGAAGCUAGUGCCAGAGACUCUCAGUGGCACUUCUACCUCUGGGGCAAUUAACCCUCAGUUAACCAGCAAGCCUUCAGCUGACCCGUCUACCAGCUCAUAGAUUUUUACCGUGGAAACAAAAUAUGUCAUUCAUAAACCUGCCUGGGAUGGUGCAUUUGGAUUUUAAAAAAUUGUCAGCUUUUGUAGAUGAUUCAAAAGGAUCCUUUGACACCAACGUCCCUGACAAAGAUCCAGCAAUGUACCGGAGUGGUGGUUUUUGGACCCAUCAACUAAAGUAGUAACAGCGGAAGCACUGCUUGAAGAUGAAAAAGAUGACAGAAGUAGCUAUAGCAGCCAGGGUGAUCACACAAGCAGAUGGGGGAAUUCAUUUGUUUCCCAUCCUCCAAUCAUGAACUAUUUACCAUGGAGUUCAAAAUGGACAGUCCUUCAUGUGCUGUUGCCAUCAUGAAAAGACAGGCACAGCAAAAUGUGAAAAUGAUUAAUGCUACAGCAAAUGAGAAGAGGACCAGGAACACUCACCAUUGUCUGCAGUCUGUGUCAUUCUCUUGCUGAUUGCUUAGAAUUAGUCUGCCGAAGAAAACAGUACUUCAGAGGAAACAUUGAAGGCACAAACUCAAUUCCAGCUAUCUUUUGACGAGCUAAUGUGUUUUUCUGCAGAUGUUUUGUCAUCUCACUAGGUGACAUUAUCCGUUUACCUCGGGUAAAGCGUUGGUGGUCCAGUCCGGCUGAUAUUUGUGUCUCUGUUUUCUGCUACCUCUGGUUCUGUAUCUGAGUGGAUUGAAUAUGGGGUCCAGUUCAAUAUGUUUGUUGGUUGAGUUUCGGUGGAGUGCCAGGUCACAAGGAAUUCUGUCACGUGUCUCUGUUUUGCCUGUGCUAGGAUGGUUACAUUGUCCCAGUUGAAUUCAUGUUCUUCAUUGUCUGUGUGGGUGGAAAUGAGAGUACUGGUCAUGUCUGACAGUGGAAAACUGAUGUUCAUGCAGUCAUUUAGUCAGUUUUCUUCCUAUUUGUCCUAUGUAAUGUUUUUCACAAUCCUCACAGGAUAUCUUGUAGAUUAUGUUUGUCCUGUUGGAUGUAUCUUUUGGGUCUUUAACUUCUGGUGCUGGUGAGAGGUGUUUAUUGGUUUGUGGGCCACUAAGAUUCCGUGGGGUCUGAGUAGUUGGGUAGUCAUUUCUGACAUGUCCUUGAUGUAGGUAUGGUCACUAUCAUGUCUGGUUGAGUAACAUUUUCUUCUUUAGGUUUGUUGUGUAAGUACCAGAGGAUAAUGCUCUUAGGAUACUCGCUCCGUUUAAAUCCCUUGAAUAAGCAUUCCCAUUCUGCUCUCUGAAGUUCUGGGUUGCUGCAGAGUGUCCUUGCCUGUUUAAAUACAGUUUCAUUUGUGGGGGCUGGAGUGGUUGCUGUUACAGUUCAGUAUUUGGUCUGUAUGGGUGUUCUUCCUGUACACACUGGUCAGGAGUUCACCGGUAGGUGUGUAUUCCACUAAUACGUCCAAGAAGAGGAGUCUGCUGCUAUUCUCCUUUAGUGAACUUUAUUCCAGUGAGGAUGUUAUGGAUAUGAUGGUGAGUUUCUUCCAGUUGUGUAUGUUUAAUGAUGACAAAAUUAUUAUCUAUAUACCGGCCUGCUCUUCUAUCUUGAUAAUUAGGUGAGGUAUAUGAGCUAAGUAGAAAGCUACAUAGGCUGUCACCAAGAGAGAGGACACAUCCAGAAGAUGAAUUCUAAACAUUCCACUUAUGCUGGGUCCUGAGUGGCUGACCAUAGAUUUAAUUGUAUCUGUUUAGAAGCCCCAAAACAUUAUGAGCUGAUUUCAAGAUAUUAGUUGCUAUUAUUCACUUCAAAUGGUUCAUCAAUCUCUGUGGUCGAAACAUCCUAUUUGGAUCUACUGACGUUUCUACCAUAGAAGAUGAAUAUAAAUAUUCCUGAUAGAAUCACUUGCUCCAGAUUGAAGUACAUUAUGUUGAAUGCUUGUUAUAUAUAAAUGUUGAAUUUGGCACUGAACUUUGCUGUGACCCAUGCUAUCUGAUUCAGAUCAUCUAAGGUGAUCUUCAGUGACUCUGUGAGGUGUCAUCCAGCAUCCUUUUUAUAACCAAACCUCAGAGAUCUGAAUCUGAAAGCUCUGAGGCAAGGGAAUAAUUUUUGCAAAGUCUUUGUUCUGCUCUGCUGACUCCACAUUAUAUUUUGGAGUCCUCUGGCACUGAGAAUAAAGGAUGAAGUUGUACUGCAUAUACACAGGGAUUAAGUCUUUUUUAAAAUUUUUCUGUAUUUUUUAUUGAGGACUGAAAUAGGGAGAAAAAAAGUUUUUAAAACCAAGGAUUGAUGGAGCUUCCAUCACCUUUUGGAAAGCAAGUAACCUAACACUUAUUAUAAGCACAGCUACUUGUCUGAGUAGUGUUUUAAGUGUAAUUUGAAGCCUAGCUAGAGCCAAGGACUGUGGACAAAUGGAGAUUCAACCUGCAACAAUUAGCUGAUUGGUCCAUGGACUAGUGACCAGUUACUGAUGACAAAGGUCUUCAGUCUGUCAGAUUGGCUCCCAGGUAGUUGAAUCAUGUGGAGCUGUGAACAAGAAAGGGAGAAGUCAUCAAUCUUCACAAACAUAGGAACUGCCUCUUCUCUGCAAAAAAGCCAUUUUAAGCCUGAAGAAAAUCAAUUUGCUUUUCCUUUAGUAGUUGCUGUAAGCUGUGACUUUUAAUUAAUAAAUCAAAGAUCUUUACAACUAUGAACUGUUCAUCCUGUGCUUUCUGCAAAUGAGUAAAAACAUCCAGAGAUAAAGACUAAGAAGCAAUAUCUGAUCUGCACAAGAAUCAUCUCACUGAAUAUUUUCCCAGUCAUUGCUUUUGCCUAAAAAACCUUAUUUUGUUUCCUGUUUAUGUCUGUCUGUGUAUGUGUGUAGAGUGUGAAUUCAUAAGGGGGUUAGAAUAUUA